UACGGAGGGUGCAAACGUUGCUCGGAAUUAUUGGGCGUAAAGCGCGCGUAGGUGGUUUGUACAGUCAAAUGUGAAAUUUCUUGGCUUAACCAAGAAAGUGCAUUUGAAACUAACAGACUUGAAUAUGGAAGAGGAUCGCGGAAUUCCCGGUGUAGAGGUGAAAUUCGUAGAUAUCGGGAGGAACACCAGUGGCGAAGGCGGCGAUCUGGGCCAAUAUUGACGCUAAGGCGCGAAAGCGUGGGGAGCAAACAGG
rnacentral:rRNA from 1 species